rnacentral:rRNA from 1 species
UACGUAGGGUGCAGGCGUUAAUCGGAAUUACUGGGCGUAAAGCGUGCGCAGGCGGUUUGCUAAGACAGGUGUGAAAUCCCCGGGCUUAACCUGGGAACUGCGCUUGUUACUGGCAGGCUUGAGUGUGGCAGAGGGGGGUGGAAUUCCGACGUGUAGCAGUGAAAUGCGUAGAGAUGUGGAGGAACACCGAUGGCGAAGGCGGCUACCUGGCCCAACAUUGACGCUGAGACCCGAAAGCAUGGGGAUCAAACAGG